GUGCUGGCUUAGGCGGCACAUAGACUAGAAUUGGAACGAUAGAGAAGAUUAGCAUGGCCCCUGCAAGAAAAUGACGCGCAAGUUCGUGAAGCGCUCGUACUUGAA